GCCACCGCCAGGCAGCGGCUGCGGCGCGAACUUCCGGGCAGCCGCCGCCUCCUGGUGCUGGGGAGACGCGGAGAAGCCGCCGGGCAGCGUGGCCAUGAGCGUGGAGUGUAGAUCUGACACGUGGAAAGGCGACAAGCUGCUCAGAGUCAAGUCUGCAAAGUGGGGUUGAGGUCCCAACACAACCUUGACCCUGAACAGGGCACUUCACCUGACUGAAAUCCAGUCUAACAAGCUCCGUACUACCCAGAAAGAGCCUUUCCAGUGUGAAUCAUAAGACCUGUGCCCGCCGAAAACCCAAAGGCUCCUCCUGGCGGCUGGAGAAAGCCCAGGCUCCUUUCCCCGGGACGCAGGACGCCGCGUGAUGCAGCUUCUGGGGGCCUCACCGGUUUCACUUCCUGAUGCUCCAUCCCGUGCUUCGAUCCUACCUGACCAGAAUGAAUCAGAGUUGCAGUUUGACAGAGGGGCAACAACAGAGGUUACUUAUUACUAACGGAACCAUCCCCCACUGUCACAGCAGCAGUUCAUGGAUUCUAAGAAUGUCAGCUCAGCUUUCCAGGUUUCCAGAAUGCUCUCAAAUUUUCCAUUGAUCUGUCCAGGCGUUAAGCAACGAUCUGGGAAAGCACGUAUGGCAGUGCCUCCGAGAAGGUGAGUCGAGAGGAGCGGACGGGGGUGGGUGGGAGGUCCUCCGUGCUAAGCAGAGCAGUGAUAACAGUCUUGGGGACCUGCAAGACCUGACCUUGUGUGUGUCAGUGUCUCCAGUCAAGGAAGAGAUGGCCCAGCAGGGAAAGUACCACCCAAGCCUUUGCAGGACCGUGUGGGAAACCCAGCUUUGGCCAAGCCCUUUCCUCCCAGGGGAGAUUUUGCGAGCAGGUUUCCUGCUAUCCUGAUAGACACAAGAAGGAAGGCCUGGAGCCAGCGUAGGACAGUCGCUGUCGGGAACCAAGGGAGGCUCCCUCUGUGGAUUGACUGCCCAGCUGGCUGCAGAUGGAGGAUGCAGAAGCCGCUGCCCGGACUCUGAUGGACGAGCAGCUCCACUUGGUUUCCCUGGACCUUCUGCUGAGCCUCUCCUUCGGGGACCUGCCACCCGCCCCUUUCUGCUCUGUAUUUUCUUUUUUUUUUUUUUUCAGAUUAUUUAUUAAAGAACCACCAUGACCAUCAACAUCAUCAAUUUAUAUAUUAUUGCCCCAAUGCUAGCCUUAACCGUGGCUCUCACAACAUGAAUUCCUCUUCCCAUAUCUUAUCCACUAAUUAAUAUAACUGUAGGCAUACUAUUUAUAUUAGCCAUAUCAAGCCUAGCCAUUUAUUCCAUCCUCUGAUCUGGAUGAGCUUCAGAUUCAAAAUACUUACUCACUGGAGCUCUACGGACAGUAGCACAGACAAUCUCAUAUGAAGUCUUGUUAGCAGUUAUUCUAUUCUCAGUCCUACUGCUAAAUGGAUCAUUUACACUUUCAACAGUAUUUAUUACACAAGAACACCUAUGACUAAUUUUCUCCUGACCCCCACCCAGAAUUUGAUUAUCUCCGCAGUAGCAGAAAUCCAGUGAAGCCCCACUUGAUUUAACAGAAGUAGCAUCAAAACCUGUAUAUGUCCUCAAUGUAGAAAAUGUAGCAGGCCCAUUCACCCCGUCCUUCCUAGAGAAUAUGUCAAUUUCCCUAUAAUAAACAUUUCCACAACAUUCUAUUUUUAGGAGCAUUCGACAAUCCCUACGUGCCAGAAUUAUAUACAGCCCCAGUUAUCAUUAAAACACAUCUAACAAUCUCCUUUCUAUGAAUUCGUCUGCUCUGUAUUUUCUUCUCCCUCCCUUUCUCCCGGGAUGCUGAGCUGUGAGACGAUCAAGCAUAAAUGUUUACAAUGGAAACGGCUGAUGUGAAUGGACAAAUCCUUAAGGGUAGUGGGGAGAUGGAGAGAGAAGCUUGCUGGCCAUUUCCAUCCUUCCGUUUUCCCUUGGAGCAACAGCUGCCAUUUAAUUUGCUUCGGAAGUGUUGAAUGGUUGUGGCUGCUGAUGAUAUUUUGGGCAAAUUCUCCCCGGACGGCGAGUGAAAUUCUGCCUUUUGGUGGACUGAGGACUGAUUAAAGGAGCAAACUUAGAGAAGUUAGCUCCACUGUUUGCUUCACUUGCCCUUGAAGGAGUAUCUGACUUUCUGGAAGCUUCACUAGUGUCCCCUCCUCAACAAGAAAUGGGCAACCUUUCUCUCCUCCCCUGGCCCCAGCACACUGGAGGAAGAGGGAGACCCAGAGGCAUCAGAGUGAGGGGAAGAGAAGGAGGAGGAAAAGUGAAAUAAAAGACUCCCUUUUAAGGCAGGGAUGAGGGUGAGGGGGGUGGAGCUGGGACUUGUAUGAGAGAACAGUUUUAUAUGCAUGUAUUUAUGUAUUUUUUAAGUCAGGUAAAUUUGCAUACAGAGAAAUGCACAGGUCUGAGAAGUAUAGCUGCAGAAAUCGGCAAAGGAAUACAUGCUUGUAACCAACAUCCCAGUCAAGACGUAGCAUAUUUUCAUCUCUCCAACAAUUUCCUUUGUGUGUGCUACCAGCCAGUCAUCACCCCCACAGGCAACCAUGGUUCUGAGUUCUCUCACCAUGUUUUGUCUUUUCUAGAAUUUUCUACUUUUUUGUGUCUGGCUUCUUUAGCUCAACAGAAUGUCUUUGACGCUCAUCCAGAUUGUUGCAUGCCUGAGUAACUCAUUCUGUUUUAUUUCUGAGUCAUAUUUAAUUGUAUGGACAUACCACAAUGAAAAAAUUCAUUCUCCUUUUGGUACUGAUGGGCAUUUGGGUAUUUCUGUUUUUUGGCUAU